AGAACUUUGUGAUUGUCGGAGCAGGGAUCUCCGGAUUAAUCACUGCCAAACUCCUGGAGGAUGCUGGACACAACGUCCAGAUCUUGGAAGCCAGUGACCGAGUGGGGGGGCGCAUUCUCACCUACAGGAAUGAGAGCAGGGGCUGGCAUGCAGAGCUGGGCACCAUGAGAAUUCCUGCAACUCAUGAACUAGUCCUUCACUAUGUACAACACUAUGGACUCAAAUUAUCUGAGUUCAUCCACGCAGAUGAAAGCACGUGGCACUUUACUAAUGGGAAACUCAACCGGGUGCAUGAUGUUGAUAAGAAUCCAGAUCUUCUGGGCUACACUGUGGAGGAUUCUGAAAGGGGGAAAUCUGCUAAACAGCUGUACUCUGAAGCCAUCAGAAAGGUCAUUGACGAAAUUGAGAAAGAUCCAUCACAGUGCCAGCGUGUCCUCAAGAAAUACGAUAUCUAUCCUGUAAAGCAAUAUCUAAAGAGAGAAAGUAACCUCAGCCGACAUGCUAUCCAAAUGAACAGUCCCUGUUUUACACGGCCUUCAGCGAAAAUCUGAGGAGGGAGAAUGACAUCAAUGUUGACGUCAACCUGAUGAAGUCAUCAACUUGAACUUCUGAGAGUACUGGAAAAUCAUUUUAGAAAAUAUAUGGAGGCACAGAUUGGCUGCCUCAGGCUGUGAGAAAAGACCUUCGGAGCAGCAGUGUGCUUCUGAAUUCAAGAGUUUUGGAAAUAAAUCAGACCAGCGAGGGUGUCC